rnacentral:lncRNA from 1 species
UUUAGUGUUUAGGAUUUAGGGUUUAGAAUUUACUUUUUAUGGAUUAGGGUUUAGUGUUCAAGGAUUAGUAUUUAGAGUUUAGGGUUGAGAGUUUAGGGUCUAGAAUUUAGGGAUUGGAGUUUAGGAUUUCGUGUUUAGGGUGUAGAGUUUGGUGUGUAGGGUUUAGAGUAUAGUGUUUAGUGUUGAGGACUUAGGGUUUAGGGUUUAGGGUUUAGGGUUUAGGGUU